UACGUAGGGUGCGAGCGUUGUCCGGAAUUAUUGGGCGUAAAGGGCUCGUAGGCGGUUUGUCGCGUCGGGAGUGAAAACUCAGGGCUUAACCCUGAGCCUGCUUCCGAUACGGGCAGACUAGAGGUAUGCAGGGGAGAACGGAAUUCCCGGUGUAGCGGUGAAAUGCGCAGAUAUCGGGAAGAACACCUAUGGCGAAGGCAGCUCUCUGGGACGGUACUGACGCUGAGACGCGAAAGCGUGGGGAGCGAACAGG
rnacentral:rRNA from 1 species